rnacentral:rRNA from 1 species
UACGGGGGAGCAAGCGUUGUUCGGAUUUACUGGGCGUAAAGGGCGCGUAGGCGGUCGGUGACAAGUCACUUGUGAAAUCUCCGGGCUUAACUCGGAAAGGUCAAGUGAUACUGUCGGACUAGAGUACAGAAGGGGCAACUGGAAUUCUCGGUGUAGCGGUGAAAUGCGUAGAUAUCGAGAGGAACACCUGCGGCGAAGGCGGAUCUCUGGGCCUUACCUGACGCUCAGGUGCGAAAGCUAGGGGAGCGAACAGG